AACGAACGCUGGCGGCAUGCCUAACCCAUGCAAGUCGAACGGGAUCCAGGCUUCGGCCUGGUGAGAGUGGCGGACGGGUGAGUAACACGUGGGAACCUGCCUUUUGGUUCGGGAUAACCGCGGGAAACUGCGGCUAAUACCGGAUGCUCCCGAGAGGGGAAAGAUUUAUCGCCAGAAGAGGGGCCCGCGUCCGAUUAGGUAGUUGGUGAGGUAAUGGCUCACCAAGCCGACGAUCGGUAGCUGGUCUGAGAGGAUGAUCAGCCACACUGGGACUGAGAUACGGCCCAGACUCCUACGGGAGGCAGCAGUGGGGAAUAUUGCGCAAUGGGCGAAAGCCUGACGCAGCCAUGCCGCGUGAAUGAUGAAGGUCUUAGGGAUUGUAAAAUUCUUUCACCGGGGACGAUAAUGACGGUACCCGGAGAAGAAGCCCCGGGCUAACUUCGUGCCAGCAGCCGCGGUAAU
rnacentral:rRNA from 1 species